CCUACGGGCGGCAGCAGUGAGGAAUAUUGGUCAAUGGACGAGAGUCUGAACCAGCCAAGUAGCGUGAAGGAUGACUGCCCUAUGGGUUGUAAACUUCUUUUAUAUGGGAAUAAAAUGUUCCACGUGUGGGAUUUUGUAUGUACCAUAUGAAUAAGGAUCGGCUAACUCCGUGCCAGCAGCCGCGGUAAUACGGAGGGUCCGAGCGUUAUCCGGAUUUAUUGGGUUUAAAGGGAGCGUAGGUGGAUUGUUAAGUCAGUUGUGAAAGUUUGCGGCUCAACCGUAAAAUUGCAGUUGAAACUGGCAGUCUUGAGUACAGUAGAGGUGGGCGGAAUUCGUGGUGUAGCGGUGAAAUGCUUAGAUAUCACGAAGAACUCCGAUUGCGAAGGCAGUUCACUGGACUGCAACUGACACUGAGGCUCGAAAGUGUGGGUAUCAAACAGGAUUAGAUACCCGUGUAGUC
rnacentral:rRNA from 1 species